UGGAUUUGUGCCUCCACCUUAAAUAUUCUCAGAAUGUAAUAAAUCUCUCUGCUGCUGAGCCUCUCUGGAGUGUCAGUGAGGUGGGCAGCUGGCUCUUCUUGGGUUUGUUUUACCUCCUGAAUUUCCCCAGGAAAGCUGUGUGUGUGUGUGUGUGUGUGUGUGUGUAGGAAAGCUGAGAACUCAGCCAAGACAAUGGUCCAGGGGGGCCUUGUGUUGGGGAGAGGGUUCUUUGUCACUGCCUCCCCAGUACUGGGAGGCAGAAUGGGAGGCUGGGGGUGUUUAUGAGCCUCUUCCCUUUUUCUUUUCAAUUACAAUGAUACCUCAGGUAAUUAACUGCUAAUAACCUUGUUAAUUUAGAAUGGAUCCUCUCCCUUCUGGCCAUCUCAGGGAAGACAGAAGCCACAAGGGUCAGCAGGCAUGGAAGAAGAGAGAGGAUAGAUUGGGACUCAGGGAAAGUAAACAUGGUGAUGAAGAAGAGCCACUGCAUGAGAGGAAGACAAAGAAGAGGAGGAGGAGGAGGAGAGGAAGAGGAGGAACAGGGAGAAAAAGAGAAAGAGGAGGAGGAGGAAGAAGAGGAAGAAGAGCCACAUAGUAUUGGUAUGAGGUGGCACAGCUGAGAUACUUCCAAGAGGUCACCUAAAAAUUGGAGAGGGAGUAGGAGGCUGACCUUGGAUUCUCACCACCACAGCCUCCUCUUUCCUAGCUACACACGUUGGACCACAUUUCCCAGCUCCCCUUGCAGUUAGAUGUGACCAUGUGGCUGAAUUCUGGCCAAUGGGAUGUGAGCAGAGGUGGUGGGCACUUCCUGACUUGCCACUUUAGAACAUCCCUGGUGCAGUCCUUGCUUGUUUCCUUCACUUGUCAGACUCUGGAGUCCUAAAGGAGGAUGGAGCCACAAGAUGGAAACAGACUGGGUUUAUGAAUAACUGUGUGGAGCAAUCUCCCUAUUGAGCUGUGCUGUAAGCAAGAGAUGAACUUCUGUUGUGUUAAUCCAAUGAGAUUUAGGUGUUUAUGCACAAAGCAGCUAAGGUCCCUAUAACAGACACAGAGAUGUUCUGCCCUUUUGCUGCCAGCGUCUAUGUAGAUGUGGUGCCUCAAGACCUGAGAGCAGUGCUGGCCCGAGGGUGGAAGCGACCAGUAAGGAGGUCUCUAGGAAGUGUUGCUUCCGUGGCAGAAGGGGUAGUAGCCAACUGGACCUGUCCCUGGUAGUUGAACACAUAUGACUCCAUCCCCAGAUGUAACCAGAAAGACUACUCUCCUCUAGGGAUGGUUCUGCAAUCACAGUGGGGCAGAAAUGCAGCUUGUUGGUCUGUACUGUCACUUUGCAUUAAGUGUGUAAUAGAAUAGGGCCUAGCACAUGGUGAAUGCUGAUCUGGGUGGCUUUGAAAUUGCUGUGAGCAGAGAAGACCAGUGAUGCCGAGUUCGUACCUUCUAUUGCUGCCCAUCCUUCUCUUCCAGAUAUGGUGAAGGACGUGCUGUCAAGCUAUUAUGGAAGCUGAGUGCAACCUUACCAGCACCUGGUUUUUCUUAUACAUUAUGUUCCGAUCAGGAAGUCAACAUGGUAUGAUAUUAAUGACUCCAGAGGUAGCUUUUGAGGUAGGCCAUACACUGGCAGAAUACUAAUGUGCAUCGUGUGAUGGCUAGGUCACAGCCAAGGUCUCUUCCCUCCGUAGCCAGAGUUCUUAAAAUUAGGAAAUUAGUAAAAUGAUGAUUUGAAAAGAAAACAAGGGAAAGAAAGAAAGAUGGAAUUUUCUCAAUACCUAGAGAGACAACCACUGUUAAUAUUUUAGUUUAUAUCAUGCCAGUCUUUUUUCUUAUGUGUGCACACAUUACAUAUCUAGAAUAAUCCAC
rnacentral:lncRNA from 1 species